rnacentral:siRNA from 1 species
GAGUUGGGUUACCUAUUUUGA